UACGAAGGGGGCUAGCGUUGUUCGGAUUUACUGGGCGUAAAGCGCACGUAGGCGGACUAUUAAGUCAGGGGUGAAAUCCUGGAGCUCAACUCCAGAACUGCCUUUGAUACUGAGGAUCUUGAGUUCGGGAGAGGUGAGUGGAACUGCGAGUGUAGAGGUGAAAAUUCGUAGAUAUUCGCAAGAACACCAGUGGCGAAGGCGGACUCACUGGCCCGAUACUGACGCUG
rnacentral:rRNA from 1 species